CUCCAAAUACCACACUAGGUGAGAAAAAACCCUUCUCCUCUAGACACCACAGCAGGAGAGAGAAACCCCUACUCCUCCAUACCAGGAGAGACAAACCCCCUACUCCUCUAGACAAACCCUUAUUCCUCCAGACACCACACCAGGAGAGACAAACCCCCUAGUCCUCCAGACACCAGGAGAAAACAAACGGCCCGACCCUCCCAGGACACCACACCAGAGAGACAAACCCCUACCUCCUCCAGACACCACACCAGAAGAGACAACCCCCUACUCCUCUAGACACCACACCAGGAGAGACAACCCCCUACUCCUCAGAAACACCACACCAGGAGAGACAAACCCCUACACCUCCAGACACCAGGAGAGACAAACCCCCACUCCUCCAGACACCACACCAGGAUAGAAAACCCCCUACUCCUUCAGACACCACACCAGGAGAGACAAACCCCUACUCCUAGAAACCGGAGAGAACAACCCCCUAUCCUCUAGACACAUCACCAGCAGAGACAAACCCCAACUCUCCAGACACCACACCAGAAGAGACAAACCCCCUACUCCUCUAGACACAACACCAAUAGAGACAAAAGCCCCUACUCCUCCAGACAGCACACCAGGAGAGAAACCCCCUACCUCUCUAGACACCACACCAGGAGAGACAAACCCUACUCCUCCAGAUACUACAUCAGGAAAGACAAACCCCCUACUCCUCCAGACACCAACACCAGGAGAGACAAACCCCUACUCCUCCAGACACCACACCAGGAGAGACAAACCCCCUACUCCUCCAGACACCACACCAGGAGAGACAAACCCCUACUCCUCCAGACACCAGGAGAGACAAACCCGUACUCCUCCAAGACACCACACCAGAGAGACAAAUCCCUACUCCUCUAGACACCACACCAGGAGAGACAAACCCCCAGACUCUAAGACACCACCCGGAAGGCAACCCCCAACUCCUCCAGACACCACACCAGGAGAGACAAAUCCCCUACCCUCUAGACACCACACCAGGAUAGACAAACCCCCUACUCCUCUAGACACCACACCAGGAGAGACAAACCCCUACUCCUCCACACCAGAGAGGCAACCCCCCUACUCCUCCAGACAACACACCAGGAGAGAACAAACCCCCUACAACCUCCAGACACCACACCAGGAGAGACAAACGCCCCUACUCCUCCAGACACCAGGAGAGACAAACCCCUACUCCUCUAGACCCCAGGAGAGACAAAGAAACCAAAAAAGAGACAAGAAGAAACCCUACUCCUCUAGACACCACCCCAGGAGAAGGCAACCCCAACGCCUCCAGACACCACGGAGAGACCAACCCUACUCCUCCAGACACCACAACAGAAGACAAACCCCCUACUCCUUCAGACACCACACCAGGAGAGACAAACCCCUACUCCUCCAGCAACCACACCAGGAGAGACAAAACCCUACACCUCCAGACACCACACCAGGAGAGACAAAUCCCCUACCCUCCAGACACCAGGAGAGACAAACUCCUACGUCCUCUAGACACCACACCAGAGAGAGACCCCCUACUCUCUAACACCACAACAGGAGAGACAAACCCUUAUUCCUCCAGACACCAGACCAGAGAGAGAAACCCCUACGCCCUAGACACCACACCAGAGAGACAAACCCCCUACUCCUUCAGACACACAGCAGGAGAGACAAACCCUCUACCCUCCAACACCAGGAGAGACAAACCCUACUCCUAGACACCACACCAGGAGAGGCAAACCCCGACUCCUCCAGACACCACACCAGGAGAGACAAACCUACUCCGUCCCAGACACCAGAGAUCAAACCCGUACUCCUCCAGACACCACACGGAGAACAAUCCCUACUCCUCUAGACACCACACCAGGAGAACAAACCCCCUAUCCUCUAGACACCACACCAGGAGAACAAACCUACCCUCACCCAGGAAGUCAACCCCCCUACUCUUCCAGACCCACACCAGAGAUACAAACCCCUACACCUCCAGACACCACACCAGGAGAGACAAACGCCCACUCCUCCAGACACCACACAAGGAGAGACAAACCCUACUCCUCCAGACACCACACCAUGAGAGACAAACCCCUAUUGCAUAAGCAGGAUCAGAGAAAAUUGUAUUUUCCUUCUCCAUUUUACAGGCAGGUGGUUUGUUUCAGUAGUUCAGCCUGUUGAGCUGAGAAAGUAUCUGGUUGUUGUGUGGUGAGUGGUUCUAUCAACUGUCACAAUACCAAACCCUGCAGUUUGAUCUAUCUAUCUACUAUCUAUCUACAUAUCUAUCUAUCUAUCUAUCUAUCUAUCUAUCUAUCUAUCAUCUAUCUAGCUAUCACUAUCUAUCUAUCUAUCAUCUAUCUAUCUAUAUCUAUUC
ensembl:lncRNA